CGGGGAAGGGUAGCUUGCUACUUUACCUAGCGGCGGACGGGUGAGAAUGCUUAGGAAUCUGCCUAUUAGUGGGGGACAACAUUUGAAAGGAAUGCUAAUACCGCAUACGUCCUACGGGAGAAAGCAGGGGACCUUCGGGCCUUGCGCUAAUAGAUGAGCCUAAGUCGGAUUAGCUAGUUGGUGGGGUAAAGGCCUACCAAGGCGACGAUCUGUAGCGGGUCUGAGAGGAUGAUCCGCCACACUGGGACUGAGACACGGCCCAGACUCCUACGGGAGGCAGCAGUGGGGAAUAUUGGACAAUGGGGGGAACCCUGAUCCAGCCAUGCCGCGUGUGUGAAGAAGGCCUUUUGGUUGUAAAGCACUUUAAGCGAGGAGGAGGCUACCGAGAUUAAUACUCUUGGAUAGUGGACGUUACUCGCAGAAUAAGCACCGGCUAACUCUGUGCCAGCAGCCGCGGUAAUACAGAGGGUGCGAGCGUUAAUCGGAUUUACUGGGCGUAAAGCGUGCGUAGGCGGCUUUUUAAGUCGGAUGUGAAAUCCCUGAGCUUAACUUAGGAAUUGCAUUCGAUACUGGGAAGCUAGAGUAUGGGAGAGGAUGGUAGAAUUCCAGGUGUAGCGGUGAAAUGCGUAGAGAUCUGGAGGAAUACCGAUGGCGAAGGCAGCCAUCUGGCCUAAUACUGACGCUGAGGUACGAAAGCAUGGGGAGCAAACAGGAUUAGAUACCCUGGUAGUCCAUGCCGUAAACGAUGUCUACUAGCC
rnacentral:rRNA from 1 species